UUGGGAUAGAUUCAAUGCCAAUGCAAUUUAGACCGAUUGAGAGAAGCUAGGAUUUUUAUCCAACCACAAUGGUGAAUAAGAGAAUCUCAAUAGAUAUUGUAAAUUUGUAACCUAUAGCAUUCUUCUUGUAGAUGCUCUUUGCAAAGGAGAGAGGUUGUGAAGCACAUUCCCUAUUUGAGAUAAUGAUUCAAAGAGGUGUAGAGCCUAAUACCAUCACAUUAGUAGUACAUUAAUGGAUGGAUACUGUUUGCAAGAGAAAAUGGAAGAUGCCCUUAAAAAUUUUCAUUCCAUGGGGGUUAGGGGCCAGAAACCUGAUGUGGUUACCUAUAUGGUGUUGAUUGAUGGGUAGUGUAAGUUUAAAAGGAUAGAUGAGGCCCUGAAGCUCUUGUGGUAAAUUCAUGGCAAGGGGUAGGUGGAUACUACGUGGUUGGCAGAGUUAGGACUGCACAGUUAUACCUGAUAUAAGAGCUUACAGCGUUCUCAUUGAUGGCAUGUUUAAAGCUGGUAGACCUGAAGAUGCGGGCAUGCCCGAGGUCCUCUCGGACAUCCGAUGCUCACUGCACCACCGCACUCACUGCAGAGGAUGUUUUUGCCUUGAAGAUUUGCUAGAAAACCUUUUGAGAAGACUUCUACUUAGGCUUUUAGAAAAGCAAAGAAAAAAAAUUCAAAAAAGUUCAAAUUUGAGAGAAAAAAAUUAAUUUGCCUUAUUGUCUUUUGUACUAUUUUCUUUUCUUUUCUUGGCUUCCAAACAUAGCCUUAUGAUUAAAGGACUAAUGUGAUGCAGGACCAUUAGAAGAAGCUAAUGAGUUGUUCACAGAUGAAAAAGAAAGAAGGGUUCCAGCCAAAUGAAAUCAAUUUCCAAUGGAACAGACCAGUGCUUUCUUUAAAAGAAUGAGAUCCACAGAGCACUACAAUUUCUGAGUGAAAAUCAUUGACAAGGGUUUCUCAUUGAGUGCAAAGAUGAUGUCUGUGAUAUAUAGUGGAUUUGCUUGUUGUGGAUGGACUAGAUCAUGAAUGCCUAUAAAUGCUCCCAGAGGUUCUAUAGUGGAUUUGCUUGCUGUGGAUGAGCUAGCGAAUGCCUAUAAAUGCUCCUACAAGUUCUUGCCAACAGAAGAAAUUUUCAAAAUAACCUGUUUGGAGGGAAGACAAGUGCUUCAUAUUUCAUAUGCCCAGUUGUGGAGAAGAGUGGUUAGAGAACCAGAUGCUAAUAUUGAUACUGUGAAAGCAAUAUCAGAUUCAUUCUGUGACAGCUAUGAAGCCAUUGUAAAACUGAUAUACUCUUGGAGAUUUUCCUGCUUGUAUGCUGCAGAAGCACCUUGAUGCAAUAAGGGUGUAGAAUUUAUGACUUCUCACACUCAUUUCAAAAGAAAUAGUCCAUCUGCUUUCUAUAGCUAAAGAAGAAGCAAAGGAUUCAUCGUCAAUGUAUACUCAAAUGGGUUAAUUACUUGACUUCUGUUGUUAUCAAUGGGAUUGAAUGAUACUAUCAUUUGCAGCAA